rnacentral:ncRNA from 2 species
CUAUAGGCUACAGGAGAGACCCCGUAUCCAAAGGGGCGCCGAAGGGGCAAAUUCCGAGAGAAUCGGGACGAAACUCUCAGGCAAAAGGACUGUAACUUAUUU